rnacentral:rRNA from 1 species
AUUGAACGCUGGCGGCAGGCUUAACACAUGCAAGUCGAGCGGAGAGAGGUAGCUUGCUACUGAUCUUAGCGGCGGACGGGUGAGUAAUGCUUAGGAAUCUGCCUAUUAGUGGGGGACAACAUUUCGAAAGGAAUGCUAAUACCGCAUACGUCCUACGAGAGAAAGCAGGGGAUCUUCGGACCGUGCGCUAAUAGAUGAGCCUAAGUCGGAUUAGCUAGUUGGUGGGGUAAAGGCCUACCAAGGCGACGAUCUGUAGCGGGUCUGAGAGGAUGAUCCGCCACACUGGGACUGAGACACGGCCCAGACUCCUACGGGAGGCAGCAGUGGGGAAUAUUGGACAAUGGGCGCAAGCCUGAUCCAGCCAUGCCGCGUGUGUGAAGAAGGCCUUAUGGUUGUAAAGCACUUUAAGCGAGGAGGAGGCUACUUUAGUUAAUACCUAGAGAUAGUGGACGUUACUCGCAGAAUAAGCACCGGCUAACUCUGUGCCAGCCGCCGCCGUAAAAC